AAAAGACUCUCAAAUGUGUGAGGAGGUCUCCAUCAGUGAAGCUAUUCAAGAAGAGAGUAGAUGUCACCUGUUGGGUUUUCUAGAACUAUACCACUGUAUUGUCUGUCAGCAAACUGCUUAUUACCCACGUACCCAGAGUAACGGAACUUGCGCCUGAAUGUAAAUUAGCUACAUCACCAUACACACUGCUGAAGUCCAUUGACACUUUUUGUGGCAAGACUUUCUAGAUGGAAGAAAUGGCUGCAUUGAUUUACGAUCUGACAGAAAGAACCUUUAGAAAACAAAUCAAGUGAAACGACAGCUAUGAUGGAAGGCAAUCUAUCCUCGUACUGAGAGUGUGAAUCUGAAGUUGGAGAGGUUUCAGGACCCAGCUGGAGAGAAUCUCUCGUCUUCAACUCACAGAUUGAUCCACGUUUUCUCUUGCUUGAAACCUAAAAGUUAACAGUGACGCCUCAGCCACUGUCAUUGACCUUGAGUUGCAGCCAAGUCAAGUGAAGCCUCACAUGCCGUCAGAGAUGACAUUUUAGGAGGGCC
rnacentral:lncRNA from 1 species